ACAACAGGUGGAGCCUGCGGUUUAAUCGGACUCAACGCCGGGAAACUCACCAGAUAAGACAGCUGAAUGAUAGUCGGGCUGAAGACUCUACUUGACUAGCUGAGAGGAGGUGCAUGGCCGUCGUCAGUUCGUACUGUGAAGCAUCCUGUUAAGUCAGGCAACGAGCGAGACCCACGCCAACAGUUGCCAGCUCGUCCUCCGGGAUGGAGGGGACACUGUUGGGACCGCCUCUGCUAAAGAGGAGGAAGGAAUGGGCAACGGUAGGUCAGCAUGCCCCGAAUUAUCUGGGCUACACGCGGGCUACAAUGGGUGGGACAAUGGGUAUCGACACCGAAAGGUGAAGGCAAUCUCCUAAACCCAUCCUUAGUUCGGAUUGUGGGCUGCAACUCGCCCACAUGAAGCUGGAAUCUGUAGUAAUCGUGUUUCAAAAUAGCACGGUGAAUAUGUCCCUGCUCCUU
rnacentral:rRNA from 1 species